rnacentral:rRNA from 1 species
CCUACGGGAGGCAGCAGUAGGGAAUCUUGCGCAAUGGGCGAAAGCCUGACGCAGCAACGCCGCGUGGGGGAUGAAUGCCUUCGGGUUGUAAACCCCUUUCAGCAGGGACGAAAAUGACGGUACCUGCAGAAGAAGCUCCGGCCAACUACGUGCCAGCAGCCGCGGUAAUACGUAGGGAGCGAGCGUUGUCCGGAAUUAUUGGGCGUAAAGAGCUCGUAGGCGGUUCAGUAAGUCGGGUGUGAAAACUCAAGGCUCAACCUUGAGACGCCACUCGAUACUGCUGUGACUUGAGUCCGGUAGAGGAGUGUGGAAUUCCUGGUGUAGCGGUGAAAUGCGCAGAUAUCAGGAGGAACACCAGCGGCGAAGGCGGCACUCUGGGCCGGUACUGACGCUGAGGAGCGAAAGCAUGGGGAGCAAACAGGAUUAGAUACCCUGGUAGUCCAUGCCGUAAACGUUGGGCACUAGGUAUGGGAUCAUAUCAACGGAUUCCGUGCCGUAGCUAACGCAUUAAGUGCCCCGCCUGGGGAGUACGGCCGCAAGGCUAAAACUCAAAGGAAUUGAC